UGACAACCUGGUCCAGUGUAAGAUUCAAUAUUCUUCUGGCAUUUUACAUCCAUACAAGGAGAGAAAAUUAAAUCUAUUAACCCUUCCAAUCAUUUGGAUCAUGAAUAGCAUAGACAACAUCAAUCAGGAAAUCAGGUACCUUGACAAUUUAAUGACCUAAAAAUAUGUGAUUAACUUAUUUACAUUUAAUCAGUUAUUAUUCAUUUGCCAUGUUUUUUAAGCCUUCUCAUCCUAAAUGAGACGGCCAGAACACUUAUCUCCUGCUGCAUUUAGCUCCCAGAACUUUCAAAUAGACACUGGGGGGAACUCAGUACAGAAAGACAAAAGAAAUAUGCUUAGAAAGAGAUCCAACAAAAAUGAGAUCGUCAUGACAUUAAGGGGUGGAUGGCUCAGUGUUUUGGGAUGUCCACAGUUAAGUCAUCACAUGUCACAUCAGUGUAUCUAGCAAAAGUUGUCUUGUAACUUCUGCCAUCUGAGUAUGUAUCAACUGGAAGCUUUAAUGACAUUACCAGGAUGAGGGACUCCAGCCCUUGACCUAAUUUUCACCGAGCUCUCAGAACCACUGCUCUGAUCUUUGCUAAUUUAUUCAGAGAAUAUCUCUUAAUGGAGUUAGUGAUUCCGUCAGCCUUUGGGAUGGAGACCUUAGAAAUGUAGGAUUAAGGUGCCUGGAGGAGGUCGACUGUAGUCAUGGAGAACAAGGAGCCCAGCACUAUAGUCAUGGAGAACAAGGAGCCCAGCAGCCCACAAUCCAAAUGAACCACAGAAGCUGUGAAAGCUGGGUACCCACCUCUUGCUCUUUGGUCUCCUCCUGGCUUUCUGGAUCUCCCUGUUCCCCCUUGCUCUUUUGUUGCUCAUUAACUCCAGAUUAUAUCUCCUUCUUUUCUCUCCCUAGCUUUUCUUUCUUUCACCCCAGUUUCUUUUUUCCUUCUCAUGAGCCAAUGAUCCUUUUUCAGAAAAAAAGAAAGACAAUACUUUUGCUUUUUCCUGAUUUAUGGAAAUGUAGGUCAGGGGAAAAGGUUAAAAAAGGUAAUAUCUGCUUUGUAUCUGGGAAAAAGAUAAUUUGGGAAUGUCCUGUGUUUACUUUCCAAACUUCUAUGGAGCUACAAUUGUUAUCACAUGGGCUUUCUGUGGUUGGUUGAAGCUGGGGAUGCAAAACCACAGAUAUGGAGGAAUUGAUUAUAAAUUGUAAGUGGAAUUUUGACUCUGAGGAAGGUGCUUCCCCUAACCCAUGCAUUGUUCAAGGGCCAAAUGUAUUUUACUUUAGAAAGAGCUCUCUUGCCUCUUUUUUCUUUGUUUGUUUUUUGUUUUGCUUUGUUUUUAGGGCCACACCUACGGCAUAUGGAAAUUCCCAGGCUAGGGGUCAAAUCGGAGCUACCUCCGCCGGCCUACACCACAGCCACAGCAACAUGGGAUCUGAGCCACAUCUGUGCCUACACCACAGCUCACAGCAAUACCAGAUCCUUAACCCACUUAGUGAGGCCAGGGAUUGAACCCGCA
rnacentral:lncRNA from 1 species